CAUCUUCAAAUCUCUAAGUAGUUUUUCCUUGGCCUUGUGCUUCUUGCCUUGGAGAUGCACGUCUAGACCUCUCUCGGUAGUAGCAGUGACCUGACAGAGGGCACAACUCCACUCCUUGGGUUUGCUUGAACUCGUUGAAGGAAGCUCUCUAGAACCUGCAGGUGGUGUGCCAGCUUUCUGCUUUGAUCCACAAACACUGGUAUCAGGCUUAGGCUGGAAAUGAUACCCAAACACAGAAACCACAAUGCCUUAUAUUAGUUAUCACAUCAAUGGUAAAAAUGAAAAAUAUUUCCAGUGAACUCCAUCAUCUGCUAUUGCAGUACAGAUGAAAGAAUUUGUUUACAAAAUGAUAAUGUGCAAAUUUUAUUUUAAAUUGUGAAUUCUCAAGAAAGGUAGGAAUGUAGAAGUAUAUUCAAAUAGUUAAUACAACCAGAAUCCUUGUUUAUUAAUAACAUUUCCAGCAUUGAACUAGGAAAAUAUCUCCAUCCCAAAAAAGAAAAAAAAAAGGAAUAUGUUUGAAUAGGAUUACGAAAUACUUUCUUAAUAAGCUGGACAAGGAGAGAUGAUAUCUUAUGAGCAUUAUAAUUCAUAAUUUGAGGAAAAACCAUUUUAAUGGAGCUUCCAGCCCAUCGCACAUACACAAACACAAUCAAUAAGAUUUAACAUAAGAAAUUACCGGGAAAAAGAAACAUCACAAAUCAAUCUGUACAAGUUCAUGUGACACUUCAUGGUAAACAUAUGUAACCUCUCUUGGAAACUUAGCUUGUGACAAGCUCACAUUUUCUCUGUGUUUUCGUUCAAAAAAGGCUUCAGACACACAUUAAUUCCAGGCUGUGGAGGAUCAUAUGUCCUCAUUGCCCAAAUUUUUAAAGCCACAUACAUUGGCAUUUGCACGCAUGGUCAAUGAGUUACACAACUCUGUUGUCUACUUGAGUUGACCAAGCAAACUGAAUUUGUGAACUUUGACCGACAUAAAUAACCCAAUGCUAACAUGUUUGGAAUUAAAUCAAGAUUGUGAGUCCAAAUGUACUCCCCGACAAACUUGUCACCUGUGCAUCAAGACAAAGUCUUAUAGCACUAAGAAUGAACAUGUGAACCUCUAAGCAACAACCUCCUAAUAACAUAAAAAUCAAGGUUGGUGUGGGAUAAAGCCAUUCAAAUGGACAUGUAAAGGGUAACUUUGAUGAAUAAGGGUUUAAGAGAAACAAUCUUAUCACAGAGUAUUUCAAUUGGAGCGGAUGAAGAAACUAACAUGAAACAAACUCACUUAUCUCUAUUUAUUUUUCAAUUUUCAUAGAUCCAAAAUCUAAAAUUAUCAUUUUGAGCUACCCUCAAUUAGUAAGCACUGCAUUGUCACUGCUUUCUUCUGAAAUUUUCCAUCAGCAGAAAAUCUCUAACAAAUCAAAACAAGACUUACCAAGUUUCAUAAGUAUCAAAACAAAAACGAGCAAAGGUCCACAGGGAAGUUCUAGAAUGAAAAAUACUAAUGACGUUGUUACAGUGAAUCUCAGGGUCCAUUUUUCGUGAGGUUAAUGAUUGCAUUCUGGGUUGUGUUGCUAUCAGUCUUUAGUGUUCAUUCAUCUUUUUAUGGUAAGUUGCAUGCAUUUGUUUUGUCUUCAGAGGUUAUGGUGUCAAAUUGAGCGGACACACGUUUGGCUUAUAGAUGAUAUGACCCUGAAACUAUGUCGCAGCUGUUGCUUGUUUUCAGCAUUCUAAUCAUUCACCAACUUGGGAUCUUCAAGUCCGUUGGUGGAAUUAUUUGCACCAUCCAAGUCUUGACGUGCACCCCUUGAUUAUACUCGGUGGGAUAAAUUUUGCACUUAUUUAAAAAAAAUAAAUAAAUAAAGAAUCCCCUGUGGGGAAGUCAAAAUGCAAACACGAAUUGAUUAGUGAAGAGGACACAGUAAUUUGACACGAUAAUUAAUCAUCUCGUUAUGAUGUGUUAGUGUCUAAUUCACAAAUUCGGGUAAUAACCGUCUUAUGAAGUGUCUAAUUUUAUUGCUCCGUUAAUAAAGUGUACUUGGGCUAGCUACGUUACCCCAGCGGUUGGAUUUCCAUUGCUUCCAAUGAGUCAAUACAAAGGCUUAUAGCAUUAGCAUGAUUAACAUAUAUUGCAGCAUCGUAAACAAUGAUUGGAAUCCUGAGAUCUUUGGUAACAUGAUUAUAGACAAUUACGACCAUGUUUGGAUAGCUUAGUUUAAAAAUUACAACAUUAAAAUAUCAGGUAAAUAUUAGUUGUUGUAACUAAAAAAAAUUAUUAUAUUUUUUAUUUUACACUUAUAUGAUAAAAAAUUUAUUUUUUUUAUUGAUUUUGUCAAAAUUAUUAUUUAAAAAUUAUAUAUUCACUGCAUACUAAAUUAAGUUAAUUACUAGGAAAUAAUUAAUUACAAGUUAAUUAAAUUAGAAAUAUGUGUCCAACCAUUAAAACUACGUAUAUCAAGUUAGUUAAUUACUAAGGAAAGAAUUAAUAACAAAUUUUCAUCGCUACGUAUUUAAUUACGAAACUGAUAACUAUAUAUUAGAAAAACUAUAAUUUUAUGAAAACUAAAGAUCAUUACUAAUAUAAAACUAAAACCAACAAUAAUUAUAUGAUAGGAUAACAACAAAUCCAGAAUAGAUUAACAAACACGUCGAUUCUGAAGCUGAAUUUAUAACCGAAUCUUAAUUCUAUUUCUUCUGUAUUUACAUAAUCAUCCUGCUAAUUAAAGAUUUACAACUUUGCCGUGGAAGGUCGGUGGCUUCCAUGCCUUUUUUCUUCUUCUCCUCACAAAUUUUGCUUUUGCUUCCACUUUACCAUUAAAGAACAUCCCAAAGCUUGGUGUUGUGCGUGGAAGGACUAUUUUUCUAAACCCUAGUAAAAAAAUAUCAACUUCAGAACCAGAGGGUGAUCUCGAAACUUAAUAUUAUGAUCAAAUACUUGAUCACUUUAACUAUUAUCCACAAAGUUAUUUAACUUUUCCUCAUAGAUAUGCGUUGAACUUCAAGCAUUGGGGCGGUGGCAGACCCAUGGCGGCGCCGAUAUUGGCAUAUCUUGGUGAAGAGAGUAGUCUUAAUAUGAUGACCUUGGUGGCAUUGGAUGGCUUACUGAUAAUGCUCAUCGAUUUAAAGCCUUACAAGUUUACAUAGAGGUAAGUAAAGAAUUUGUUAUCAGGCUAGCUUGAUAAUAAUUGAAAUAGAGUUCGCAUACGAAAUAAUAAUAAUAAAGACAAAUCCUAAUCAGAAUAUUCUACAAUAUGAACUAAAAAGUUGUGAUGGAUUUUUUUUUAAUUCAAUUUUUUAUGCAGUAUCGGUUCUAUGGAAAAUCAGUACCUUUUGUAUCAAGCAAAGAUGCCCUAAAGAAUGCAACUCUUCGUGGAUAUUUCAACUCUGGUCAAGCUUUGGCACAUUAUGCAAAGAUUCUCUUACACAUCAAGGAAAAUUUAUCGGCCGAAAUGUCUCCCAUUAUCGUUGUUGGAGCAUCUUAUAGAGGAAGUAAAUUUUAAUAUUAUUAACUUACUUACAUCUUUUGAUUAAUGUCGUGUCAUUUGUUGCAUCAUUUUAUUCAUUUUGAUCUCGUUUGACCAAAAUAUUGAUUACGCCAAUAUUAUUUUGAUACAAAUUUAUUUUGCAUUCCAAUUAAUGAAUACUUUCAGCGAUCGUAAAAUUAAGAAAUAGUAAACAUAUUUAAGAUAAUUACGUUUUUAAAAAUAACCAUCUCAAUUCAUCCUAUUUUAUCAGAUCUGGGUAGGGAUGGCAAUGGGGUGGGGUGGGGGUGGGGAGGCCUACCUCAUUCCCCACCCCAUUCCCCAAUAAAUUUAGUGGGGUGGGGAUGGAGAAUCCCCAUGUGGGGAAUGAUUUCCCCAUCCCCACCCCAUUCCCCAUUUAUCUAUUUUAUAAUAUGUAUAAAUAUAUUAUUUUAGUAAGUUAAAAAUUAGAGACUUAAAAUAAAAUCAUCAUCAUAUUAUAAAGUAUUUAAAUUCUUUUAAAAAAAUAUCUAAAAAUUUGAAACAAUAUCUUAAAAUGAUAUUAAAAGUGAAAAAUAUUUAAAGAGCGUAACACCUUAAAAGAGAAAAGAAAAUAUAACAAUGUUUCAGAGUUGAAAAAUAUUAUAGGAUUUUCUUUCAUUCAUAUCUUGUUUAUGUUGCAUAAAAAUUAAAAAAAAUUAUUAAUUGACAUUAUAAUUGAUAAAAUAAAAAUUAUUAAAUAAGAAUUAAAAAUAUAUUUAUAUAUAAUGGGGAUUGGGAUUGGGGUGGGGGUGGGGUGGGGAGUAUAAAACCAAACCCCACCCCAUUAAGAAUUUGGGGAUUAUUUUCUCCCCACUCCCCACCCCAUUCCCCAAAAAUUAUUCAAAAUUUUUUCCAUUUGGGGUGGGGCUCCAUAGGACCCCAAACCCGUGGAGAAUUUUGCCAUCCCUAGAUCUGGGAUGUGAUAUGGUUUUGAGAGUUACUCAUUUGUGGGUUUGUUAUCACCAGUGCUUGCAGCAUGGUUUCGCUUUCCUCACAGUGCUUUGGGAGCAGUUGCCUCGUCCGCCCCAAUUAUCUAGUUUGAUAAUAUCACACCCUCAAACGCAUAUUAUGAUCUUGUCACCAAUGACUUUAGGGUAAGAAAUAAAAUUAAUUAAUUAAAAUUCUAUAUAUGUAUGAUUGUGUUUUCUUGUUAAAAUUUAACCAUUAAAUUUUGAAAAUUAAUGAUGCAAGAAGCCAGGGAGAGCUGCUACAUGACCAUCAAACAGUCCUGGGCUGAAAUGGAUAAAACCGCUGCUAGAAAAAAUGGACUUGCUUCUCUCUCUAAAAAGUUCAAAACCUGCAAGAAAUUAAUCAUAUUACUUUACAUAACUGCUUAUAUAUAUCCAUCCGAUUUUCCCUUAAGUACAAUUAAUGCAAUGUUAUUGUAGCAUCAUUAUCGAAUGUACUAUGUCUAAUUAAUUAUCUGACAUUCUCAGAGUAUAUAUACAUUUCGAUUAACGUGUAAUAUACAAAGUAAAAAUCUGGAUUUGGGCUUAUACACGGCCUUUGCAUUACCCCAUAUAUAGUAUACUGGUGCUUCGAUUCAGCCCUCCAGAGGUUCGUAUUUUACAGAAUCUAAAUUUGAACUACAAAACCACGCACAACUCUGAUUAUCAAAUAAGGCCAAAUUUGUACGUUUGCAUUUGAUAAUAUCAAUAGCUUCAUACUUAUAAAGUUUAUUGUAAUCUAACUAAAUAUAACAACAUUUUUUAGACGGCAUGUUGAAAGAUCUUUUAUAAUGUUACUAACCUUGUGGCACUUAAUUCUAUGUUGUUGUUGUUGUUUAUUUGAUUACAAGCCUCUGAAGGAUGUUUCAGAAUUGAAGGAUUAUUUAGAGUGUAUGUAUACGGGUGCAGCUCAGUAUGAUGAUCCUCAGGAAUAUCCAGUGAACAAAGCUUGUGAAGGUAUCGAUGGAGCUUCAGAAGGCACGGAUACCCUAGGCUGGAUAUUCUCAGGAAUUGUUGCUUUAAGAGGGGAGAAUUCUUGCCAUGAUGUUGAUGAAUUCUUAUCCGAUGAAACACUAGACUCGAGCUGGGGCUGGCAGGUAUGUGAUUACGGGUGACAUGAUUUCAUUAGAUACUUCUAUUGAGAUCGUCAAACAAACAACAUGUUGCGAUGAAUGAAUCUCUCACCUAACAAUACCUAUUUUAUGUACAUCUCUUAAUUUUAUUUAUGAGACUACAUAUUUAUGAAUGAUUAAAAAUAGUUUUCUCCUUUAUUUAGUUAUUUAUUUAUUAUGAUUCUUUUUUUGUUUUGGGAGGGGCGGGGAGGGGGGGGGUUUCUCAUGCAGACAUGCAGUGAAAUGGUCUCAUCGAUUGGAAUUGACAAAAAUAAUACAAUUUUCAAGCAGACGAUAGAAUAUAUGAAUUCAUGCAAUAAGUCUUAUGGAGUGGCUACAAUACCACAUUGGAUUACAACUUAUUACGGCAGUCAUGUAAGUGUCAAUUAAUCCCCAAAUUAAUUCUUUUAAUAAUUUAAUUUUUUUCAUUUUCUUUUUUAAUUAUAAAUUUUAUCUCAAUUUUUGUUCGAUUUUUAUUUCUUUUUAAUUUGCAUGGUAUAAGAGUGGUUGUAAAGAGAUUUGGUAGCAACCUUAUUUUCUCUAAUGGCUUUCGUGAUCCCUAUAGCAGCGCUGGGUAAUUAAGCUUAAGAAUUUUGGACAUUCUUUUCUAUCAAAGUUACCUAUUUAAUUAUAUACCUUUUUCUUUUUCUUUUGUUUUUUUUUUUUUUUUUGAGAUUACAGUGUUCUGGAAGAUAUAUCAGAUAGCAUAAUAGCAGUGAUAACAAAAAAUGGUAUGUAAAUGUUUCUGUAAAAUAAAAAAAUUAGUGUUCAAUUGUUUGAGGGAAAUACUCCGACGAGACCAGACGUGAUGAGCAGAUGUUUGGUGGCAGAAGUCUGCGAGCAGGUGUGUCCUGUAAGAGCCAGGUAGCAGGGGAACAGGGGCAGGAAUAUCCUGCUCAUCCACGAGCACGUCAUCCGCGAGGCCAAUUUCCUGUAAGAAGCAUAAAGCCAUUCCUGCUGUAUUCUUGCUAAGGGUUGAUUCGAGGAGACCCGGUCAAUGACAGUUGGCGAGGCAUGCUCUCCAGCCCGAGAAUCUAGGCACGAAGGCCACGCAACCACCCACGACUACGGAAAUGGGGAAUCCACGUUCGAGAGGUGGGAGGAUAACGGGCGUAGACUGCGAAAAACUGGGAUUCAGAGGAAGCCUAUAAAAAGGUAGCCAAUGAAGGUAAAGGGGUUAGCAAUUUUGAGAUUAGAAGGGAGAUAAAGAAAUUCUAAAGAAGAGAAAACUACCCAAAAGCCAUAAGAUCUGUGACAAGCGUUCCCCGAACCUUAAUAUCUGACUUGAGCGUCAGAGGGUUUGCACCGGGAAAACAACCGGCGUACUCUGACUUGUCUGUGUGUGCAGGAACCUCUGGAGAAGAAGCUUUACGAGGAGAGAUCCUGGUCGUGGUGAAGUUGAUCGAGCAGAGACCCUGGUCGUAGAACGAGGAGAACCAGAAUCUCGCAUCAACAUUUUGGCACCGUCUGUGGGGAGCUGAUCAAAAAGCUUAUGUUGAUAGCAAGAAGAGGAGUGAAGUAAGUGAAAAGCGAUGGAAACAGGGGAAGCAAUGCAGAUAACAUCCCUCGAUACCCGAGUGGAAAACAAGAAUGGCAGACAAGAACCUGUAGAGGAUCUGGAAACUGUAAGCCUAGGACCAGAGAAUCCGGGAAAGACAAUCAGAAUCGGGUCGAGACUUAAGGGAGAGCAAAAGCAGGAGUUGGUGAAAUGCUUACAGGCUCAUGCAGAUGUGUUUGCUUGGACACAUGAAGACAUGCCAGGGAUUGACCCUGAGGUAGCAUGUCAUAAGCUGGCAGUAAAGAAAGGUGCUCGGACAGUAAGGUAGAAGAGGAGGUGCUUCAACCAGGAGAGGUAUGAGGCUAUAAAUGGCGAGGUGGAGAAGCUCUUGAGAGCAGGGUUCAUUCGGGAAGUCAAUUACCCUGAAUGGAUAUCGAAUGUGGUGUUGGUAAAGAAAGCGAAUGGCAAGUGGAGGAUGUGUGUGGAUUUCACAGACCUCAAUAAGGCGUGCCCAAAGGACAGCUUCCCUUUGCCAAAGAUCGAUCAGCUAGUAGAUUCAACGGCUGGACACGCUCUGCCUAGCUUCAUGGACGCGUUCUCGGGAUACAACCAGAUCCCCAUGUACGAGCAGGACGAGGAGAGCACGGCUUUCAUCACUAACCAGGGUUUGUUCUAUUACAGGGUAAUGCCAUUUGGUCUCAAAAAUACUGGGGCCACCUAUCAGAGGAUGGUGAACAAAGUCUUUAAGCCGUUGAUUGGGAAAACCAUGGAGGUGUACGUGGAUGACAUGAUCACCAAGUCCAAAAUCCCGAAGGAACAUGUCAGACACCUCGAGGAGACAUUUGAGCUUUUGAGGAAGUAUAAGAUGAAGCUCAACCCGGAGAAAUGUGCUUUUGGGGUCGAGUCGGGGAAGUUCCUUGGAUUCAUGGUGAGUCAUCGGGGGAUCGAAGCAAAUCCCGAGAAGAUCUAGGCGAUCGUGCAGAUGAGGUCUCCUCGUAGCCUGAAGGAAAUACAAAGCCUUACGGGGAGAUUGGCGGCAUUAAGCCGGUUCAUAUCCAAGGCUACAGAUAAGUGUCAACCAUUCUUUCAAGUGAUAAGGAGGGGAAAGAAAACAGAGUGGACCCCGGAAUGCGAGGAAGCCUUUCAGAACUUGAAGCAGUAUUUACAGCAAGCCCCUCUGCUAUCCACACCGAGGGAUGGGGACAAGUUAUUUUUGUAUCUGGCGAUAUCGGAUCGGGCCGCCAGUUCUGUUCUGGUGAGAGAGGAAGAAGGAGUUCAGUAUCCACUAUACUACACCAGCAAGGCCCUGCUCGACGCUGAGACCAGAUACCCACCGUUGGAGAAAUGGGCACUUGCCCUUGUGGUUGCUGCUCGGAAGUUGAGGCCAUAUUUUCAGGCAUUCCCAGUCUCGGUUAUAACAAACCAGCCAUUGCGUCAAACUCUGCACAAGCCCGAUGCUUCUGGUUGGCUCGUCAAGUGGGCUAUAGAGCUGAGCGAGUUCGACAUAGACUACAAACCCCGAGCAGCGAUAAGGGCUCAAGCAAUGGCCAAUUUCGUAGCAGAAUUCACAGAGCCUGAAGUAUGUUUAGACCAACAAGAUGUAGUUGCAGACAAUGGCGAAGCUCAAGUAUGGCAAAUGUCUGUAGAUGGGUCAUCAGGGGAGCAGGGAUUGUAUUGGAAGGCCCGGAGGGGGAGGAGAUCUCUUAUGCUGUAAAGUUAGAAUUCACAGCAACAAAUAACCAGGCAGAGUAUGAAGCCUUGAUAGCAGGAUUGGAACUGGCUAAGGCCGUGAGAGCAGAUAGAGUGAAGAUCAGAACUGAUUCCCAGCUGGUUGCGAAUCAUGUCAGUGAAAGAUUCCAACCAAGAGAGAAGAAGAUGGAGCAGUACUUGAAGAUAGUCAGGCAGAUGAUGGGAAAAUUCGAAGCGGUGGAAGUAGUACAAAUCCCAAGGGAGCAGAAUAGUCGAGCCGAUAUUUUGGCCAGGAUGGCAGCGGUAGCAGACCCAAAAAUGCCAAAGUCGAUCCCUCUAGAGGUGAAGUCCAGCCCGAGCAUCGAGCCGAAUUCAGGGGUACUGCGGAUAGAACAAAAAUGCUCGUGGAUGGACCCGAUAGUUUCAUACCUUAGAGACGGGGUAUUACCACCAGAUAAGCUGCGAGCUCGGAAGAUUAGAGCCCAGGCCUCGAGAUACACGAUGAUUGAUGGGAUACUGUAUCGGCGAGGAUAUACACUACCUUUCCUUCGAUGUUUGGAUGAGGACGACGCGGAUUACGUCCUGAGAGAAGUACAUGAAGGAAUUUGCGGGAAUCAUUCUGGUGGGAGAUCCCUGGCCCACAAGGUUCUAAGGCAGGGAUAUUUCUGGCCGACAAUGCACCAGGAUGCACAGGAGAAGACCAAGAGCUGUGUAAGCUGCCAGAGUUUUGCAAGUUUCCCCAACCAACCACCAGAGAAGCUCACCUCUAUGGCCUCCCCUUGGCCAUUUGCUCAAUGGGGAAUUGAUCUGAUCGGCCCGCUGCCAAAGGGACGAGGAGCAGCAACGCAUGCAAUAGUUGCUAUAGAUUACUUCACGAAGUGGAUAGAGGUCGAAGCCCUUAGUAGGAUUACAGAGAAGAAAACGACAGACUUUGUGUGGAGAAACCUGGUCUGUCGAUACGGGAUCCCUUAUGCCUUGGUAACGGAUAAUGGCAGGCAGUUCGAUAAUCACAGCUUCAGGGAUUUCUGCCAGAACCUCGGGAUAGAGCUGAAGUAUUGCUCGCCUGCUCACCCUCAAUCGAAUGGACAAGUAGAAGCAGCCAACAAGACCAUCAAGAGACUUUUGAAAACCAGGCUUGGAGCAAAAAAUGGUACAUGGGUUGAUGAGCUGUCAGGUGUCCUAUGGGCAUACAGGACAACCCACAAAACAGCAACUGGGGAGACACCGUUCGCCCUGGCUUUCGGACAUGAAGCGGUCGUACCAGCUGAGAUAGGAACGACCACGCACCGGACAGACCAUUUCAAUGAGCAGGAGAACGACGAGCAGAUGUGUUUGAAUAUUGAUCUGCUAACGAAGAAGAGGGAGCAAGCAGCUGGUCGAUCAGCCAUUUACCAGCAAAGGGUUGCUCGUUAUUAUAACCAGAAGGUGAAUGUACGGCAAUUCAAGGUCGGAGACUGGGUACUGAGAAGAGUGAAUCAGAGCACCAAAGAUUCGACUCAAGGAGUGCUGGGACCGAAUUGGGAAGGGCCAUAUAGAGUCAAGCAGAUAGUGGGACCCGGAGCUUACAAGCUGGUUCGCACAGACGGCCACGAGGUGAAACGCCCAUGGAACGCAGCACACCUCCGAAAAUACUUCCAGUAAGACUUGUUCACAUUUGAAAGCUAUUUCUGCUCGUGUUCAUUAUCGUUUAUCUUUUAUGUUUUAUAUCCAAACAAUUUCAUGUAAGUCGAAUCCUGCCAUUAAUGGAACGUCGAGGAAUUUCAUUCGCUUGAAACUGUGAAAAUUUCCUAAGGCAUGCAAAGGCUCGUCAAGUCUCAAAGCCUGUUUAUGGCGAGACCAGAAGCCAAGCGUGCCAAGAUCUGCUCGGCCACGAGAAGGCGAGCAAAAUCCCAAGCUUUGAAGAAAUUGCCUAAGGCAUGCAAAGGCUCGACAAAGUCUCAAAGCCUGUUUAUGGCGAGACCAGAAGCCAAGCGUGCCAGGAUCUGCUCGGCCACGAGAAGACGAGCAGAAUCCCAAGCUUUGAAGAAAUUGCCUAAGGCAUGCAAAGGCUCGACAAAGUCUCAAAGCCUGUUUAUGGCGAGACCAGAAGCCAAGCGUGCCAGGAUCUGCUCGGCCACGAGAAGGCGAGCAGAAUCCCAAGCUUUGAAGAAAUUAUCUAAGGCAUGCAAAGGCUCGACAAAGUCUCAAAUCCUGUUUAUGGCGAGACCAGAAGCCAAGCGUGCCAGGAUGUGCUUGGCCACAAGAAGGCGAGCAGAAUCCCAAGCUUUGAAGAAAUUACCUAAGGCAUGCAAAGGCUCGUCAAGUCUCAAAGCCUGUUUAUGGCGAGACCAGAAGCCAAGCGUGCCAGGAUCUGCUCGGCCACGAGAAGGCGAGCAGAAUCCCAAGCUUUGAAGAAAUUACCUAAGGCAUGCAAAGGCUCGACAAAGUCUCAAAGCCUGUUUAUGGCGAGACCAGAAGCCAAGCGUGCCAGGAUCUGCUCGGCCACGAGAAGGCGAGCAGAAUCCCAAGCUUUGAAGAAAUUACCUAAGGCAUGCAAAGGCUCGACAAAGUCUCAAAGCCUGUUUAUGGCGAGACCAGAUGCCAAGCGUGCCAGGAUCUGCUCGGCCACGAGAAGGCGAGCAGAAUCCCAAGCUUUGAAGAAAUUGCCUAAGGCAUGCAAAGACUCGACAAAGUCUCAAAGCCUGUUUAUGGCGAGACCAGAAGCCAAGCGUGCCAGGAUCUGCUCGGCCACGAGAAGGCGAGCAGAAUCCCAAGCUUUGAAGAAAUUACGUAAGGCAUGCAAAGGCUCGACAAGUCUCAAAGCCUGUUUAUGGCGAGACCAGAAGCCAAGCGUGCCAAGAUUGGCUCGGCCACGAGAAGGCGAGCAGAAUCCCAAGCAUUGAAGAAUCUUCCAAGGCAUGUGGCAAAACCAUAUACCAAGCCAGAGCCUGCUCGAGCGGACGAAGACGAGCAGAUUCUCAAGCGGAAAAAUAACUCGUAAUUACAAUACAAGAGAGUAAUAAAAAACAUUUCUAUUAAUUUGUUAAUAAUUAACAAAGCAGAUAAUCUUCACAAAUAUUGUUCGUUACAAUACAAGAAACAUAUUUAAGAAGACGGUGGGUCCGCAAGCCGAGCAGCCUCAGUUAGCUGGUCCACCUCAGGUGCUGGGGGAGUAUCUCCAGUUGCGUCUGGGGGGGUACUCGCCUCACCAGCAUCAGCAGGGAUUACACCGGGAGGAGAGUUUUCCUCCUCUAUCACCAUUGGUGCCACCUCUUCGGCAUCCUCCUUUGCAGCCUCCUCGUCCAUAUGUUGGGCGACACCAGCUGCAAGGUCGUCCGUCUUUAGAUCAGGAUGCUGCUUCCCGAGGACGGCCAUGAUGCAACGAUAAGAAUGCCGAAGUCCCUAGUCGUACUGGUUGUCGGCCUCCUUUUCCAAGUUCUCGACCCGAGCUCGGUGGGAAUCGCGAAGAGAUUCGAGCUGAGCCUCAUACAUAGCCUUCUGCCUUUGAAGAUCCUCCUUGACCUUGGCCAGCUCUUCCUCGAGAGUAAUAGCCUUGGCUUGAGCAAGAGAUUCUCGCUCAAUCAACUUCAGAUUCUCGAGGUUUAAGUCCCCUGCUUUCUUCUCAGCAACGUCAGCUCUGGUCGUCGCCGACUGAAUGUCCUCCUUCAUCUUCCUAUCAUAACGGCCAACCUUGGCCUUAUAGUAGGUGGUCAUGCAGCUGAGAUGGAAAGCGCUAUACUGCAUGGCCCCCACCAGCUCGCCUAAGGUGCAGCCAUCAAAGUCCUCGAGGUCCUCCUUGCUCACAAGUUUGGAAAGCUCGUUGAGAUAGGGGGCCAAGUGUUCUGCUCAGCUGUCAGGUAAACGAGAUCUAUGCCCGACAGGAGGCGAAGAGGAAGCAGGAUCAGUGGCUGCUCCACUGGUCUCGCCGAGUUUGGCAGAAGGAGGAGGUAAAGUCUUCAACGGAGAGACCUGCUGCACGAUGUUGGCCCGCUUUGCAGUAGGGGCAUCCCUGUUCUGGUCCCUCUUCGUGGUUUGGGGUCGAGAACGUUUCCUGUUUAGAGCCCCAAUCACGGCGUCCUCCAUCUUAUGGCCAGGAAGUACCAAGCGAGACUCAAGCAAGUUGUAAGUAGUUAGCAGUUCUCGGCUCGAGCAGGAAUUGGCGAGUACAGCCUCGACCCAUUUGAGCUGGUUAGGUUGGAGCGGGAAGUGAACACCCCAAGAAACUACAACACAAACAGACACUUGGUUAGAGACAAGCCAAUAAAGCAAGAACAAUUAUGGAUACAAGACAUCUAAAGCGAGCAGGCAACCUGGGACCGUGAAACGGGGUGGGACGCGACAAUCCUUCCCGUCUAUUUGUGCAACUUGACCCCAAGGACCCCCAGCAAAAAAGAAUUUCCUUUUCCAGUCCCACACAACCAAGAACCGCUAAGUUUCUACUGCUGGUCCAUUACAUUACCCAACACCAGAAACUGGGGGACCGGUGUUUGAGGGAAAUACUCCGACGAGACCAGACGUGAUGAGCAGAUGUUUGGUGGCAGAAGUCUGCGAGCAGGUGUGUCCUGUAAGAGCCAGGUAGCAGGGGAACAGGGGCAGGAAUAUCCUGCUCAUCCACGAGCACGUCAUCCGCGAGGCCAAUUUCCUGUAAGAAGCAUAAAGCCAUUCUUGCUGUAUUCUUGCUAAGGGUUGAUUCGAGGAGACCCGGUCAACGACAGUUGGCGAGGCAUGCUCUCCAGCCCGAGAAUCUAGGCACAAAGGCCACGCAACCACCCACGACUACGGAAAUGGGGAAUCCACGUUCGAGAGGUGGGAGGAUAACGGGCGUAGACUGCGAAAAACUGGGAUUCAGAGGAAGCCUAUAAAAAGGUAGCCAACGAAGGUAAAGGGGUUAGCAAUUUUGAGAUUAGAAGGGAGAUAAAGAAAUUCUAAAGAAGAGAAAACUACCCAAAAGCCAUAAGAUCUGUGGCAAGCGUUCCCCGAACCUUCAUAUCUGACUUGAGCAUCGGAGGGUUUGCGCCGGGAAAACAACCGGCGUACUCUGACUUGUCUGUGUGUGCAGGAACCUCUGGAGAAGAAGCUUUACGAGGAGAGAUCCUGGUCGUGGUGAAGUUGAUCGAGCAGAGACCCUGGUCGUAGAACGAGGAGAACCAGAAUCUCGCAUCAACAUCAAUUAUUAACUAAAUUAUUCGAUAACAUAAUUAAUAAUGUGUAAAUUAGAGCAGGUUCCCAUUGCUUAGACAUACAUCCAGCAGCAGAAGAUGAUCCAGAGUGGUUAGUAAUGCAGCGAAAGAUUGAAGUGGACAUGGUUCAUGAUUGGAUCCUUAAAUACUCUGCAGAUUUGCUUCAAAAUCAGAGCAUAAGAUUAAAUUGGGACUGCAAAAUUAGUUUUUUCUUUUUCUUCCUCUCGUCUAUCUUUCUAAUAUUUAUGGAGCAAAGAUAAAUAAUAGAGCACCUAGCUAGUUUAAGAGUUCAUUUUCAUUAUUCUUAAUCUGGGUUGUCUAAAUGUGUAGAACAAGUGUGCAGUAUUACUUAAUGUAAAGCACAUAUAAAGGGCUCAAUCUUUAUGUAAUAAUCAUAUGGUGAAUAUCAAUUCAUGUACAAUCACAUUGAAUUAACCAUUUUCUCCCUUUGAUUUAGGAGUUACUGUAUAGGUCGUUGAAGCCGGUGACAGUAAAAGAAUUUGCUCUCCAUGUACAUGUAUCUCUCAUUCUCAACCUGUUCCUAUGCUUCUACAUAAUAGCUUCUUUUGUUAAUUAUUUGACAAUCUCAUGCAAUUCCAAACAUGACUUAGAAUCAGUUUGAGAUUCCGGUGGCUAUUGAAAUAAACUACUUCUAUUAUGCGGAUAAAAUAAGCUAAUGAUUAUAAAAGUAGCUCGCUCAGUGUUUGGUAAAUUCAAUUACGAAAGAACUAUUUUAUUAUAUAAUCACUAAAAUAAUUAUAAGUUUAAAUUGUCUUUUAUUUAUAUAUUAGGAUUUAUAAAAAAAAGGUAAUAUACAAUUAUUCUUUUCUUAGUUAUAAAGAAACUUUAAAAAAUGCAUUUUAUUUAAUAAGUUGCUUCUAAAAAUAAUCCCAUACUUGUUUUAAAAGCUAUUGUCAAAAUAGAGAAAAUAUAAAUUAACUUUUAACAAAUUUACCAAACAUUAUUUUUAUCAAAACUUAUAAAAUAAAUUGUUUAUAGUAUUUCAACUGUAAUCCCAAAUACGGCAUUAGUCUUUGUUCAAAAUAAGGUUAGACAUUGAAUAUGUGUACACGUAUAAACGAAAAUAUCUAGACUGAAGAAACAUCUCGACUUAAAUAAGUCUGCUUCAUUCUUUUUUUUCCACAGCAUAUGUCAAGACGUAAGUUCCAAAUCAUUGCUGACUAGGGGAAGAAGUCUUCAAAGUCAAGGUGAUUAGAUUAGCAGGUCACGAAAUUACGUAUGGGAGGGGUUCCCUGCCCUCAACUUAAAAAGAUGCCUUAAAAUUAAAUAUUAAAUAAUAUGGCAUUUGUUAAAUUUAAAAAAUAUAAAAAAAAUUAAAAAGAAAACCUUUUUUUAAGUGCCCAGAGGUUUGAACGGCAACUAUAGGAUUGUUUCACGAUGAACUUCAAAUGUGCAAGACUAAGGCAGGCCUAUCACGAUUUGGGCCAACUUUGGUAUACUCAGGAAGGGGCACGGAAGAGGGAGCAUUUUGGUUUAUAUUUUACUCAUACACACAUGAGUAAUUAUAUACAAACCUUUCAUGCCUUCACUACCUUUUUCAUGUGGGACAAAUGUAUUUUCCUUUAAUUUUCCAAUUAUAUACAAACCUUUCAUGCCUUCACUACCUUUUUCAUGUGGGACAAAUGUAUUUUCCUUUAAUUUUCCAAUUCCAUGAAUUUACUUUCAGUUACCAUUUCUCAUUUAUCCAAGGAUCAUUUUGAUCAUAUAGAUAAAACCAUUUUGAAGUAUUUACAGAGAAAUAUUUGAAACAAUUUUAACUUUUCACUUACACCACAUAGGUCUCACUCAAAAUCACGCCUCAAAUAGCCACUUGUGCUAUAUUUCCAACACCUUCUGUCUCUUUUCCUUAUUGAUCGCAUGCAAAAAAAUUGAGUGCAAUGAAAUUUUUUAUAUUCUUUCGUCUAUGAUGUUUUUGUGUAAAAAAUAAUAAAAUUCAAAUGGAUGUUAAGUAGCCCAUGAAUUUCCAUAGUUUGUAUGUUACAAAAGGAGCUUUGUAACUAUUUUAAAAAAUAAACAGAUUAUUUUGAUUAUUUUGUCAAAUCACAGGAGUUUCUACAUGUUUUUUUAUACAAAUUAAAUUCACACAAAGAUAUGAUUAGUCUUGUUUAUUUUCCUAUUUGAGUCAUAAUUUACAACAAGAACUCUUUGAGCUUUUUAUUUAUUUUAUUAUUUUGGGUGAUAUUUAGUAUCUUAAUAAUGCUAUUAACUAUUUCUAAUAUUUUCCAUAUUAUCUUAUAUUUCUGCAAUGUUAUUCAAAUAGAUUUAUAAGCUAAAGCCAAUAAGCCAAUUGGAUAGUACUAUUGAGACCGUCAAAUAAACAACAUGUCGCAAUGAAUGAGUCUUUCGUCUAACAAUACUUAUUUUAUGUACAUCUCUAAAUUUUAUUUAUGAGAAUACAUAUUUAUAAAUGAUUAAAAAUAAUUUUCUUCUUCAUCUUAUUUAUUUAUUAUUUUUUUUUUUUAGGGAGGGGGAGUGCCAUCCAGACAUACAGUGAAAUGGUCUCACCAAUUGGAAUUGGCAAAAACGACACAAUGUUUCAAACAUACUCAUUUAAUCUGACAGAAUAUAUGAAUUCAUGCAAUAAGUCUUAUGGAGUGGUUCCCAGACCACAUUAGAUUACAACAUAUUACGGCGGUCAUGUAAGUAUUGAUUAAUCCCCAAAUUAAUUCUUUUAAUAAUUUAAUUUUUCUCAUUUUCUUUUUUAAUUAUAAAGUUUACCUCAAUUGUUGUUUGAUUUCUAUUUCUUUUUAAUUUGCAAGAUAUAAGAGUGGUUUUAAAGAGAUUUGGUAGCAACAUUAUUUUACCUAAUGGCCUUCGUGAUAUGAUCCCUAUAGCAGCGAGGGGUAAUUAAGCUUAAAAAUUUUAUACUCUUUUCUAUCGAAGUUACCCGUUUAAUUAUAUGCCUUAUUCUUUUUCUUCUCUUUUUUUUUGGUGGGGGGGGGGGGGGGGAGAUUAUAGGGUUUUGGAAGAUAUCAGACAAUAUAAUAGCAGCGACAACAAGAAACAGUAUGUAAAUUUUUCUAUAAAAUAAAAAAUAAGUGUUCAAUUAUUAACUAAAUUAAAUUAUUCGAUAACAUAAUUAAUAGUGUGUAAAGUGGAGCAGGUUCCCAUUGCUUAGACAUACAACCAGCAAUAGAAGACGACCCAUAAUGGUUAGCAGUGCACAGUGCAGCGAAAGAUUGAAGUGGACAUGCUUCAUGGUUGGAUCCUCAAAUAUUUUGCAGAUUUGCUUCAAAAUCAGAGCAUAAGAUUAAUUUGUGACUACAAAAUUAGUUUUUUUCUUUUUCUUCAUCUCCUCUAUCUUUCUAAUAUUUAUGGAGCAAAGAUAAAUAAUAAUAGUGCACCUAGCUAGUUUGGAUUUGGUUGUAAUUUUCAUAAUCCUUACUCUGAGUUGUCUAAAUGUGUAGAACAGGUGUGCAGUAUUAGUUAAUGUAAAACACUUAAGGCUCAAUCUUUAUGUAAUAAUCAUAUGGUGAAUAUCAAUUCAUAUUCAAUCAGAUGAAUUAACUAUUUCCUCCCUUCGAUUUAAGAGUUACUGUAUAGGUCCUUGAAGCCGGAGGUAGUCAAAGAUUUGCCCUCCACACACACACACACAUAUAAAAAUAUUCAAAUUCAGAAUUUUAAAAUGCGGGAACGUUUGGGAAAACGCAUAAACUGUGCAGUUUAAGUGCUUUAAGUAUUAGACCUUUAAAACCCCGCAGUUUUAAAGUUUUUCCUAAUGUUUCCCACACUUUAAGAUCCUGUACCAAAAAACUACUAUAUAUAUAUAUAUAUUAGGUGUUUAAGCUUGUAUGCUCCGUUUAUUAGUAGCCAAGCUUGCGAGUAUAUUGCUUCUGGUGAACCUCUUCCUAUUCUUCUCCUUAAUAGCUAUUUCUCUUAAUUAUUUGACAAUCUAAUGCAAUCCCAAACGUGACUUAGCAUCAAGUUUAGGAUGGCGGUUGCUGAUAAAAUAAGUUAUUUCUAUUGUGAGGACGAAAUAAGUUGAUGAUUAAAAAAGUAUCUUGUUCAUGUUUAGUAAAUUUGAUUAUGAAUGUGCUGUAUUAUUUAAUGACUAAAAUAAACAUGAGUUUAAAUUGUCUUUUAUUUAUAUAUUAGAGCUUAUAGAAAAGUAAGAUAUAAUUAUUCUUUUCUUAAAAUAUUAAGGUUAUAAUAUGAACAUUUAAAAAGAUAUAGCAACUUAUUUAAUAAGUUGCUUAUAAAAAUAAUCUCUAUUCUGUUUUUAAAAGUUACAGUCAAAAUAGAGAAAAUUAUAAAAAAAAAACAACUUUUAACAAAGCCAUCAAACUUCAUUUUUAUCUAAACUUAUAAAAUAAGCUGCUUAUAGCAUUUCAAUCACAAUCCUGGGGCAUUAAUCUUUGUGUAGAAUCAGAUUAGACAUUGAAUAUUUCUAAUUUUCUACACAUAAAUUAAAAUAUGUAGACUAGAAAAACACCUUGACUUCGUAAGUCCACUUCAUUCUUUAAUUUCCGCAGCAUAUGUCAAGACGUUAUUUUCAAAUAAUUGCCGACUAGGAGAAGUCUUAUAGUCAAGGUGAUUACAUGAGCGUGUUAUGGAAUCGUAGUGGUUCCCUGCCCUCAACUAAAAAAGUGGCCUUCAAAAUUAAAUAUUAAAUAAUGUGGCAUUAUUAAUGUUAUAUAUAUAUAUAUAUAUAUGUGUGUGUGUGUGUGUCUGUGAGUGUGUAUAUAUGUAUAUAUAAUAUUAUAUAUAUAUAUAUAUUAGGUUUCAUGUUUUGCACGGGUUCGAACGGCAGUUGUAAUAUUAAAUAAUAUGGCAUUAUUAAAGUUAAAAAAAUAUCUAAAGUUAAUCAUAAAAAAAUAUUUUUUUUAUAAAAAAAUAAAUAAAGAUUAAAAUGGAUGUUAGGUAGCCCGUGAGUUUCCAUAGUUUGUAUGUUACAAAAGGACUUUUGUAACUAUUUUAAAAAAAUAAAAAAAUUAUUUUGAUUAUUCUGUCAAGUCACAGUAGUGUAGACAUCCUUUCUCUAUAGUUUAUUUAUAAUAUUAAAUUUAUACAAAGAUAUGGUUAGUCUCGUUUAUUUUCCUAUGAGAGUCAUAAUUUACACCAACAAUUCUUUGAGCUUCUUUUUCUUUUUAUUAUUUUGGGUAAUAUUUAAUAUCUUAAUAAUGCUAUUAAUUAUUUCUAAUAUUUUUCAUAUUAUCUCAUGUUUCUGCAAUGUUGUUCAAAUAGAUCUACACCACACAAAUACAAGCCAAUAAGGUUAUAUCUCCAUGAUUGAAUCCAUCUAGAGAAGACCUUGACUCACACUCUUUGAAAACGCGUAUUGGAAAUUAACACCGGGAGGUUGAAAAACAAUUAAUUCUUAUAUAAACGCUUUGCUGAGAAUCAAAUGUAGCUCAAUCAACCGAAAACCAUUAUAAACAUGGCAGCAGCAUCCACUGUUUCGAGAUUGGUGGUCAUUAUAAUUUUAAUUAAUGUUGGUGCUAUAAGUGAUACGACAAUAUUUGCAAUAGCAUCAGCUGCUGGAUUAUUGUCGUCACCCAAACUGUUAGAAAGGGAAGCUUUACUUGGUACAGGCUGGUGGGUCAACAAUUGCGCGACGGGCAACUACACGUCCUAUCAUUGUAAGUGGACUGGCAUCAGUUGCAAUUCAGCGGGAAGCGUAAUCGGGGUCAGCUUACUCUGGUAUGAAAAUGAUAACAUCACAGGAGAGCUCGGUCGUUUCAAAUUCUCUUGCUUUCCGAACCUCAGAAGUUUCAAAAUUCAUUCAAAUUAUUCUAUCUCUGGAAGCAUUCCAUCCGAAAUUACUGCCCUUUCAAUGCUCCAAACUCUUGAACUGCCCUCCAACAAUCUUACCGGUAAGCUACCAAACUUCACUAUAUAUAUAUAUAUAUAUAUAUAUAUGUAUGUAUGUAUGAAGUCGUGCUCAUGCUUGAAGCAGGAGUCUGUUUUUACAACACUGAAGAAGUUUUUUUUAUGAGGAUUUCUUUAUAAAUUUUAUUUAUAUGAGGAUAGUGAAUACUGAUCUCGUUUUUCAUAAAUCACAUGCGCAACAGGAAUUGUCCCUUCAGAGAUGGGGAGAUUGAGGAAUCUUGUCCACCUGGAUCUAUCUGAUAAUUACAUCUGGGGAUAUAUCCCUCCAACUCUUGGUCGUCUAAGCAAAUUGGAAAAUUUCAACCUGUCUUCUAAUGCCCUUGAUGGUAAUAUCCCUCCAACUCUUGGUCGUGUAAGCAAAUUGAAAAUUUUGAACUUGUCUUCUAACUCUCUUGUUGGUAAUAUCCCCCCCACUCUAGGUCAUCUAACCCAUCUAACUACUUUGGCUAUUGCUUGGAACCAAAUUAAUGGUUCCAUCCCAUUAAGAAUCGGGAGUUUGAAGGCUCUUCAAGUUCUUGACUUGUCCAUAAAUGAAAUUGAAGGUUCAAUGCCUUCAACACUUGGCCAUUUAAAGAGAUUGAGAAGUUUAGACUUGUCCGGUAACAAUCUUGUUGGUCCAAUCCCUUCGUCUGUGGGUCAUUUGACUCAGCUAACAACUUUUGAUAUGCACUCAAACCGAAUCAAUGGUUCCAUCCCAUUAGAAAUCGGGAAUUUGAACUUUCUUCAAGUUCUUGAUCUGUCCAACAACAAACUUGAAGGUCCAAUUCCUUCGACCAUAGCUAGUUUAGUCAACUUAACAUCUUUGUUCCUGUGCAAUAACAAUCUAACUGGAUCUAUUCCUUCAACACUUGGUCAUUUAAACAGGUUGACAAGUUUAGACUUGUCCAGUAACAAUCUUGUUGGUCCAAUCCCUUCGUCUGUGGGUCAUUUGACUCAGCUAACAACUUUUGAUAUGCACUCAAACCGAAUCAAUGGCUCCAUCCCAUUAGAAAUCGGGAAUUUGAACUUUCUUCAAGUUCUUGAUCUGUCCGACAACAAACUUGAAGGUCCAAUUCCUUCGACCAUAGCUAGUUUAGUCAACUUAACAUCUUUGUUCCUGUGCAAUAACAAUCUAACUGGAUCUAUUCCUUCAACACUUGGUCGUUUAAACAGGUUGACAAGUUUAGACUUGUCCAGUAACAAUCUUGUUGGUCCAAUCCCUUCGUCUGUGGGUCAUUUGACUCAGCUAACAACUUUUGAUAUGCACUCAAACCGAAUCAAUGGUUCCAUCCCAUUAGAAAUCGGGAAUUUGAAACAUGUUGAAGAUGUGUACCUGUUCAACAACAAACUUGAUGGUCCAAUUCCUCCACAACUCAUGAAUUGCUCAAAGCUGAGAGCAUUAUCAUUGAGUAAAAACUUGUUAAGUGGAAGCAUCCCAUCAGAGAUUGGCAAACUUCAAGAACUAUAUUAUCUUAAUCUGAGCCAUAACUCCAUUAAUGGUAAAAUACCUUCCCAGCUUGGAGCAAUUCCAAACAUAGAUACCGUGGACCUUUGCAUGAAUAACCUCUCCGGUAGUAUCCCUGAAUCUGUCACAAAUGUGCCACACUUAGAUGUGUCAGGCAACAAUUUGGAGGUAGAAAUCCCAAGUACUUCGGCAAAAGCGCCACCACCACAUCACAAAGGCAAUGACAAAAAGAUUGCCACUCGCUUGGUUGCAAUUAUUCUCCCUAUGGUCGCAUUGCUUGCCUUGAUAUUUGGAAUCUUGUUUGUCCGUAGACGAAGGGAUAAGAGAGUUGAACCAGCUGAGACAGGAGAAAUCACCAAGUGCGCUGAUGAGUUUGCAAUUUGGAAUUACGACGGUAGAAUUACAUUUCAAGACAUGAUUGAAGCUACUGAGGAUUUCCAUAUCAAAUACUGCAUUGGAACCGGAGGCUACGGCAGCGUUUACAGAGCACGACUACCCAGUGGAAAAGUAGUUGCUUUGAAGAAGCUUCACGGUUCAGAAACUGAGGAGUUAGCUUCCCUCGAGAGUUUCCGGAAUGAGGCUCGUCUACUGUCCCAAAUACGGCAUCGAAAUAUCGUAAAGCUUUACGGGUUUUGUUUGCACAGGAAAUGUAUGUUCUUAAUCUAUGAGUACAUGGAAAUGGGAAGCUUGUUCUGUGUUCUGCGCACAGAUGAGGAAGCUGUGGGGUUGGAUUGGGCUAAAAGGGUGAACGUUGUGAAGGGCAUGGCUCAUGCUUUGUCAUACUUGCAUCAUGACUGCACACCACCAAUUGUUCACCGGGACAUAUCAAGCAACAACAUUCUACUCAACUCAGAAUUAGAAGCAUUUGUUGCCGACUUUGGCGUUGCUAGAUUGUUAAAUUUUGACUCAUCCAAUCGAACUCUAUUGGCUGGCACUCAUGGAUAUAUUGCUCCAGGUAAUCUUCUAGCCAUUCUUCUUCUGCUUCUUUAAUUAUUCUUUUAAUUAAUUUUUAUAUACACUCUGUUAAGUAAUUUUUAAGCAGUUUUAUUUAGUUAGCUAUUUAGGUUCAAAUUUUGGAAUAGGUAAGGAGCUGAAAGAUAAAUUUAAACUUUGCCUACCCGUUUAACUUUUUUUUAAAAAAAAAAAAAUUACACACAGUUUAAAUAUCAAUUAAAAACAUAUGUUUUUCUGUCAUACCUUGCUGAAGAAGCUCAAAAAUAUAAACAAAUUGCUCUUGUUAUUAUAUAGGAAAUAUCACUAAUAAAGGCUUCUGUUUUCCUAUAGAACUGGCCUACACCAUGAUUGUGACGGAGAAAUCUGAUGUUUAUAGCUUCGGAGUGGUGGCACUAGAAGUACUAAUGGGAAAGCAUCCUGGAGAGCUCCUCUCAUCGUUAUCUUCGUCAUUAGAUAAAAAUAUUAAGCUGAUUGAUUUGCUGGACCCACGCCUCUCACCUCCGGUGGAUCAAAAGAUUAGGCAGGAUAUCAUUCUUGUUUCAACAGUAGCAUUUUCAUGCUUGCGUUCUCAACCAAAGUCUCGACCUACAAUGCAACUCGUGUCCAACGAAUUUAUCGCUCGCAAUAAGACACCAAUGCAAAAACCUUUUCAUGAAAUUUCAAUUUUGGAGCUUAGAAACCAAGAAAUGUAUUUGGUUGAUUAAUGUGAUAUCUAAUUAUGGAUACGUAUAUUUAACUGUUCAUGUAUGUGAUGGGAUUGCUUCUAAUCCUAAUAGAAUUUUCCAAUAAAGGUGACUGUUAAUUAGUUCUGAAAUUAUUAUUAGGUAGUAGCAAUGUAGCGUAUAUUAUGUGUUCGACGAAUUGUCUCCCUUAGUAUUAUUAAUUCCAUUUACACGUUCACUACCUAUAUAUAUUGAAUUGCAAUUAAACAUAUGUGCAAACUACGACAUUAAUGUCUCGGGUAAAGCUAGUACUUUCGCAGUUGGUUAGUCUAAUUGUCACCCCCUCAAUGAGCUGAAUUAAACAGGAUUUUAAGGAAUUUAAAGGUUGUAUCUCUACGAGUUAAAAGGGUAAAUUGUCAUUUUAAUUAUUAGUUUAUUUUACAAAUUAUAUAUAUAUAAACUUCAUGCAGAAUGAGGUUCUUGAUGUCGCGUUAUUUAAUAUAUUAGUUUUUUCACUCCUUUGUAAAUAUUCACACAAACAUAUACAAUAAUUUAGCUGAUCCGAUCAAACAUCCUUAGUUUUUUCACUCCUUUGUAAAUAUUCACACAUAUACAAUAAUUUAGCUGAUCCGAUCAAACAUCCUGGACCCACCGCUGAUGUUAGGAAGCUUCUGCAUAAGCUGUGGUUAGUGUCUUAGUGAUAUCCCGCCAACAACCUGCCAGCAAAAGAUAAACUAAUGUCAGGUCAUGAUCAAGAAAAAUUUGCUAAUGUCAGCAGAAGAAGUCAUAACCAUGCAUAUAUGAAGCACUUUCAAAGAGUAGAUCUAACAGUGUCUGGUUUUCAUUUUUGGAGUUUUUUACCAAUGACUGGAGAGUAGAGAACAACACAUGAUCCCCGUUACAGUAUUGUUGCUUGAAUUUAUAGGCUUCAUCAAUCAGUACCUUCAAAUCCAUAUAUAAUGAGAUGGAAGAAUGAAUUUAAAUUUAUUAAUGUCAUUUCCGAGUUUUAAAAUGAUAAAGCAAGUUGCAACUGAUUCAUUGAAAUUUAAAACAUUCAUAAUGAAGUGCAAGAGCAAAAUAAAAGUUAGGAGCUUUACCUUCAGCAUAACAAGGAGUCUGCUGGAUCAGGCCCACUUUAUCUGCCGCUAUAGACCACCACCUCUUCAUCUUCAGCCUUCUCAAUAACACGGUCUCUUGUUUCUUCAUUUGAUUCUUCGACCACUACAGCUUCACCUUCAACAUUCUCAGUAGGCUCUGAUGGUGUCACAAUUGUUGUGCUGGUGGUGAGGGGGACGGCUUCAUUAUUUUUCCUGUAUUCAUUAGACCGAGCCAUGUGUUUCUUCCCCCUUUUAUGACCUUCCAUCACGACAGCAGAGUGAGUACCAACUUGACAAACUUCACACCAGAAUUCGAAAUUCUCCCUAAGGGGAAGUUUUCUCUUCAUCGUCUCUGCAGUCGGUAUUCCAUUUGUCGUCUUCCGAGUGUUUGCAUUCAGGUCCUUCUUUGGCAGCUCCUCAUUUUUGUUCUCUGAAUCUUCUUCACCCUCCACUUUCUGGUCUAAACCCACAACAGUUUUAAUAGCUUUAACUGAUUCCUCUUCUACUUUAGCUUUUAUUGCUUGACCAGCACUUUCCGGUCUAAACCCACUUUCUGGUCUAAUUGUCUUUCCAGAUUCUUUUGAUGUUGAUGAAGAUGAGGUGGUCUGAGCUCCAAUUAGCUCGGCUUCCUUUGCCUUGUGCUCCUUACCUUGAAGAUGCUCAUCUAGACCACCCUCCACUUUCUGGUCUAAACCAACAACAGUUUUAUUAGCUUUAACUGAUUCCUCUUCUACAGUAGCCUUAAUUUCUUCGCCAGCACUAUCUCUGCUUUCAGUAGAGUUUCUUGAAGUGGAGUUACUGCACAUCUUCUGAUCUCCAAGUAGUCCUUCUUCCUUGGCCUCGUGCUUCUUGCCUUGAAGAUGCUCAUCUAGAUCUCUCUUGCUAGUAGUACUGAACUGACAGAGGGCACAACUCCAAUCUGUGGGUUUCUUUGAACUCGUCAGCGGGAGCUCUCCAGAACCUGCUGGUAGUGUGGCAGCUUCCUGCUUUGAUCCACAAAGAUUGGGAUAGGGCUUAACCUGCUGGGCUUGACAACCCUCCUCUUUCUGGUCUAAACCAACAACAGUUCUAUUAGCGUUAGCUGAUUCCUCUUCUACUUUAGUCUUCAUUUCUUGGCCAGCACUAUCUCUGCUUUCUGUGGAUUUUUUUAUCCACUUCUGAGCUCCAAAUAGCUCUUCUUCCUUGGCCUUCUGCUUCUUACCUUGAGGAUGCUCAUCUAGACCACCCUCCACUUUCUGGUUAACUGAUUCCUCUUGUAUUUUAGUCUUCAUUUCUUGGCCAACACCAUCUCUGCUUUCUGUAGAUUUUUUUGACGUGGAUGGAAUGGAGUUACUGCACCUUUUCUUAUCUCUAAGUAGCCCUGCAACCUUGGCCUUGUGCUUCCUACCUUGAAGAUGCUCAUCUAGACCUCUCUCAGUAGGAGCACUGACCUGACAGAGGGCACAACUCCACUCCUUGGGCUUGUUUGAAUUCGUCAAAGGAAGCUCUCCAGAACCUGCAGGUGGUGUAGCAGUUUUCUGAUCUGAUCCACAAGGAUUGGAAUUGGGCUUAACCUGCAGGGUUUGACCUCCCUCCAAUUUCUGGUCUAAACCAACAACAGUUUUAUUAGCUUUAACUGAUUCAUCUUCUACAUUAGGCUUCAUUUCUUGGUCAGCACUAUCUCUGCUUUCCGUAGCUUUUUUUGAAGUGGAGUUAAUGCACAUCUUCAAAUCUCUAAGUAGUUUUUCCUUGGCCUUGUGCUUCUUACCUUGGAGAUGCACGUCUAGAUCUCUCUCGGUAGUAGCACUGACCUGACAGAGGACACAACUCCACUCCUUGGAUUUGUUUGAACUCGUUGAAGGAAGCUCUCCAGAACCUGCAGGUGGUGUGGCAGCUUUCUGCUUUGAUCCACAAACACUGGUAUCAGGCUUAGGCUGGAAAUGAUACCCAAACACAGAAACCACAAUGCCUUAUAUUAGUUAUCACAUCAAUGGUAAAAAUGAAAAAUAUUCCCAGUGAGCUCCAUCAUCUGCUAUUGCAGUGCAGUACAGAUGAAAGAUUUUGUUUACAAAAUAAUAAUGCACAAAUUUUAUUUUAAAUUGUGAAUUCUCAAAAAAGGACGGAAUGUUGAAG
rnacentral:lncRNA from 1 species